GCAGUGAGUAUCAAGAUAGUUAGAGGAGGAAACAUCAGAGCGGUUCAGCCACAUGUUUCAGCCUCAGUCAGACACAGACUGAGGAGUUUGGUGAAGAGUGAGGAGUUUGUUGUGCACCAGAAUUGGCAGCUAGAGGACAUAUCAGAGCGGGACACAUCCAAGCUCAACGGGGUAGAGGCCCACUGCUGCCCCAGCAGAAGGCCUCACACCAGGGCCUUGAUUUAAUCAUGGCCCAGCAAGGGGAGAGGCCAAGCAGGCAACAAAGCUGCCCUCCAGCCUUCCAUCCUCCUGCCAUCAAUGCUCCCUGUAGGUUGACCCAGGAGAGGCCAUCCCUCACCCUCCACCCUCCACCCGGGCUGUUUGAAGAUGAGAGGAACUGUGUGUGCGGGGAGGGACAGCCAAGAGGAGGAGAGGCAGAUGAAACCCUGGUUGUUCUCUUUGAACUGCUAAUCACGGUGUUUAAAGCUGACCUCGCUUCCUGUCUCUCUUUCUGUGUUUGGCUCAUUAAAAUACGCACCCCGAUAAAAGGUCCAGAUGGGAAUUCACCAUGAACUACAAUUCCUACCUCAGUUUCAGUCAAAUCCGUACACCUCAAAGAUAAAAUAAUAAACAAACAGGUUAGAACUGCACAUGAGUCCAACAGAAGAUAUUUAAUAAUCCACCACAUUACUUUACCAUUUCAUCAAUAUAAAUAAGGAUGGAAUGCAGCUGCUCCCUGGUUGACAAUGAAAUCAGGGGUUUUAAAAUGGCCAUGUAGACACCUGGCAAUAAAAUCUGUCUUGCAUGAUGUCAAGUGGCUCUAAAUGCAAACCCUAUUGUGGGUGCACUGGGGCUAGUCUACCUUAUCAAUAGUCAAGGUGGUCAGGGACAUUUGUGACCACACAUGUAGUGUGAGCAAAAAUGCCUCAUUGACUUCACUGACAGAAAGCCAACUGAACUUAAUAAUAAAUAAUCAAAAAUGCCAAAUCUCUGUAUCAUAUAACCACUGAAAUCUUUUUCUAUAAUGGUACAAAAACAAAUGUGUAUGUUUUUUUCUUCUUAGCAAUUUGUUGAGUGAAAUUUAUGUAAAAUCUGUAUGAUGUCUCACACAUUGGGCUAUAUCUAAAUAUUUGUCCACACUAGUAUUUUUUUGGCUGGACCGCAUCAGUGGGGCCGGCCCAACAAUCUGGAAUGUCACUGACUGAGUGACUGACAGACUGAUGAUAUUUCCACUACUAGUCAGCGGAGUGACGAGCCGCAGUCUACCGAGCUGCUCUGGUUUCCUGGCUGCAUGGGAACUGCAGGGAAGUGGAGGAGCACUUCCAAUACACUGAACCUCAUCUCCAUUACAGCAAAUAAACUACUUUCUUUGCAUGUAUGAUUAUUACUAAAGGAGCCAGAGGAAUAACCUAACAUAAGGCACACCGAGCAAAGAGAGCAGGAGAAAGGGAAGUAGAGGGAGAAUUCAUGAAUGACGAGGCUUCGUACUAACAGGUAUGACCAACUCUACAUAUCAAACAGGAAGUUAGACAUAAAGAUGUGCCUCGAAUAAAAGUCUCUUCUUGGAAGUAAAUAAAGGCUAAAAUAUUGUGGAUUCCAAACGACAAGUAAAAUUGCGAUCACAGAGACAGUUAGUGACAACACGUCUUGCGUCACUUCCAAUAGGUUUCCUCAUCCAUACUAAAAUUGCGAGGCUGUAUUCCGCCAGACUGGAGAGUGUUUUUGAAAGUCAAAACAGGGUGAAAAAAAAGUGUUUUCAGAUUUAGCUGGCUUAGUGUGGACGUGGUCUGAGUUGCAUUCUAAUGUGAGGCGUGAACUGCAGAGCAUGUUUAUUAGAUCUUGAUCCAGUUUGGAUACAUUUCCACAGACGGCAUUAGGUCUGAAAAAAAUGGAUAAGGAAGGGUGGAGCAUGGAAGGUGGACAUGAUGAGACGGAGGAGAGUAGGGUAGCAGGGGAACAAUCAAUCAUCACUCCUGUUGGUUUAUAUUGACUCUGCAGUCCCACUGGGCUACCACGGUCAAUGUGCUUUCAGGCAUUUUGUGUGGGUCGAUGAAGGAGCGUGCCUGGCUUAACACACACCUUUUAUAGGGAUACGUGCAUGUGUAUUUGUGUAAUAUAUUUGAUGUUUUUAUACAGUAAGUAUUGACAGUUUUUUAUGAAUGUAUAUCAUGUGGAAAGUGUGGCUAUUAGUGUCAAGUAUAAGUGAAUAUAUAUGUUUUAGAAAUUACAACACAUACAUUUAAAGUAUCAACAUAACCACGCCACAGUGAAGCCACAAGGCAUCAGACUUUGCCACUUGCUGAGGUAGUUGACCUUGCUACCAAGCUGUACUGUGCCCAGUGGCAGCCUCCCAAGAACCAACAGUAUCAGUUGGCUUUGGCCCAUCGACUGUGCUUGGCAUUCAUUGUAUCAUAUAAAUGAGUGAUGAAAAAAACCAUCUACAACACACCGUACAAAUAUCUCUGUAACCUGUUAGCCUACACUGAUUUUAAUCAACAAUAGCUCAGUCAGUUUGAACAACAACAAUUGCAAAUAUUCAAAUGAGUGUCUCCAACAGUUAAUUAGAUGUCAGCAGAUUUAAUAGAAAGGACCUUUAUAUUUGGUGGUGACAAAUACUUUGCUUAAAUGAAUCAACAACAAUGGACAUUGUUUUUUUGUUGGUAUUCACAGUUGUUAUAUUUUGGUAAGUAAUGGGUGGGUAAUACGAACAUAAUAUUUUAUCAAGGUAUGUAAAUUAUUAUUGUGAUAUGGAUAUAUUAUGUGAUAUGAUCAUUUAUUCUGGAAAUUAAAUCGAGAAACCAUUUGUAAUUAAAAUAAACAAUGUCAGUGUUUGUUGUUGGGCA